AUGUGGCUGCAUGAGGUACAUACACCAAUGAAAUAUCAUCAUAUAUACGUUUUGAUGAAUGUAUGUAUAUAUAUGUUUCUGUAUAAAUGACAUUCUAAUCCUAGAGAGAACAAUACCUGAAGGGUCCAAUGUUUUUUCAAUUAUUAUGUCUUUGAUUAAGAAAAAGUAUGAGAUUUUCUCAAGAGUGGGGAUGGUAAAUGAAGGAACAUCACAGGUUUUCAGCUUCUCUGUUGAUGAGUUGCUCUUGAUUCAGAAACAUUAUCGUCUUGUCAUUUGAAACAUGGACAAAAAAAUGGGCAUGCUAUUGCCUACUGAGGACUGUAGAUAUGAUAACGUAACAAUUGUUGCUAAGCACAUGUAUAAUUUGUCGCCAGUAGAUAAAUAAUUAGCAGUGACUUGAAAGGAAGAUACAACCAUUUCAAACCUAUGGGGCCAUUGUUCCUCAAAUGAGAAGAUAUGAAGUUGCAACCUUAAAAUGACUAUGACACUGUGUCACCAUCCACAAAUUAAAGUUUGGCUCUACAAUGCUUGCUAUUUAUCACAGCUAGGUUAAUCAAACUGGUGGUUACUUGCCCUUGUCAUCGGCAAGGAAGGAAAUCUGAUCUUACAAUCUUGAGCAUGAUCAUGUGCAUCUGGA